rnacentral:ncRNA from 2 species
GACCGUUCCGAGGGGUGUUCCGCAAGGAGCUGAGAUGCCGCGAAGCGGCGACCCUUUGAACCUGAUCCGGGUCAUGCCGGCGAAGGGACAGGGACCAGUUAUUCCC